rnacentral:tRNA from 1 species
AGGGAUAUAGCUCAGUGGGACAGCACCUGCCUGCUAAGCGCAAGAUUCUGAGUUCGAUCCUCUGUACCACCA